rnacentral:lncRNA from 1 species
UUGUUGUUAAUUUAUAGACUAUGUUUAUGAAGACCUUAAUUUAAAAAUAAUAAUAUUCAAAUUUUUAUUUAUCAAACACACAAAAAUAUUGAAUUUUGAUCAGAAAUCAACUUUUAAUUUUUAAAUCAGUAUUAAUAUUGAACACAUUAAAAACGAGUUUUUGGUAUUGAAUAAAUACAACACCACAUGAACACCACAUGCAGUUUUGUGAGUCCUUUCUUA